GGAGUUGUGGCUCAGUGGUAGAGUGCUUGCUAGCAUGCAUGAGGCACUGGGUUUGAUCCUCAGCACUGCA
rnacentral:tRNA from 1 species